rnacentral:rRNA from 1 species
UGAGGAAUAUUGGUCAAUGGGCGAGAGCCUGAACCAGCCAAGUAGCGUGCAGGAUGACGGCCCUAUGGGUUGUAAACUGCUUUUAUAUGGGAAUAAAGUGAGGGACGUGUCCCUUAUUGCAUGUACAAUAUGAAUAAGGACCGGCUAAUUCCGUGCCAGCAGCCGCGGUAAUACGGAAGGUCCAGGCGUUAUCCGGAUUUAUUGGGUUUAAAGGGAGCGUAGGCUGUUUGUUAAGCGUGUUGUGAAAUGUAAGAGCUCAACUUUUAGAUUGCAGCGCGAACUGGCAGACUUGAGUGCGCACAACGUAGGCGGAAUUCAUGGUGUAGCGAUGAAAUGCUUAGAUAUCAUGACGAACUCCGAUUGCGAAGGCAGCUUACGGGAGCGCAACUGACGCUAAAGCUCGAAGGUGCGGGUAUCGAACAGG